UAUAUAUGCAUAUAUUUAUUUAUUUAUUCUGCUACAUGGAGCAAAUAUCAAAUAGGGUUUACAAUGUGAAAAGAUACUUAAUUUCCAAAAAGAGAUUUUCACCACUUCUUUCUUCCACUCUAGUUUUGCUCCUGCCCACCAUGUCUAAUUAAGUCCAGUUACUUUAGAGAACUAAGGAAUAUUAAUGAUUAAUAGCCUUUCCUUCAGAGUAACACACGCUUGUAAUACAUCAUCAGGAGGCAGAGAUCAGAGCUCUUGAAUUAGAAGGGGAAGCUGUGAAUGAAUCUAUUACUACCACUCUGUACAAUUAACUCUACGAGUCAGAAACCAACUCCCUUCAAACUGGAAACAAUGCCCCCUCCUCAGAGAAAAUAUAUUUUCUAGAACGUUGUGCCACUCCUUAUUAAUAUGCACCAAGCAACUGGCUCAAAGCCCAUCUUUGAUCAACCUUUGGGGUGGGAAAGAUCCACAUAGACAAUAACACGAGGAAGGCAGAGGUAUGAACAGGUGCUGAGUACCGGGUUAAGGAGGGCAAUUGAAAUGUAAAGGAUUGGUUUCUCUAGUGGCAUGAACUAUUUGACCCUUAUCUGAAUUGACCCGACCCUGUCAUCUCUAUUUUAGCCCUGAUUUGAUCUGCAGUUUCAAGGCAGCAAGACGGAAGCUACACAGACCAUUUGCCUCUGCAGGUACACAGCACUCCUCCAUUUUGAGAAGAGGAACAGAAAUACUUGAGUGGAUGAAGCUGCUAUUUGCAUCUGAUCAGUGCUAAGUGGGAUGCUAAAUUUAUGCCAAAGAAGAAUGAACACAAAUAGAGUACAAAGAAAAUUAAUGAGAGAACAUAGGUAAGGAAGAGGAUUGGGGAAGGCUUCUUAGAAGAAAUGCAUUUUGGGUUCAGCUUUGAAGAUGAAAAGAAUUCUGAAGGAUGGGGAUGAGUAAGUACAUUUCAGAGUUGAUGAAUAUUUGUUGAAUACAUAGAAGUGAGAAAUAAAGUUUGAAGAACAGCUAGAAAUCCAGUUUUGAUGAGAACAUUGGAUUUGUGAAGGAUAGUCAAAUACAAUACAAAUUGAAUAACAACAAGAAGUUUGAGAUGCCUAUAGCAUAUCUAGGAGCAAACAUCUAGGAGAAAAUUGAUUAGAGUUGAUUAGUUCUGGAAUGUAUUUAGAGAAAUCCAUGUUAUUUUUAGUUAUCCUUACCACAGUAGAUACCCUUGGAAUGUCACAUACAUUGUGAUUAUUUUAAAUGUUUAGCAUAAACUCUACCUGAACCCCUCAGUAGGUAGUCACCAAAUACCAGGACUUUUAUUUUCUUUUCCCUGUGGCCAGUAAUCAAUAUUCUUUUUCCUGGUGACAUUGAUGUGUCCUCCCAUCAUUUCAUGAAGCACCAUAAGCUGCUUCCUCUUUAAAAGGUC